UGCUUACUGCGAUGUGCGUGAGCCACUGUUAUACCCCUUGAGCCUUAAUUACUGCUCAGGAGGCCAGUUUCAUUAUUUUGUGUGCACGCUCGCCACGGCGAGAAGCCUAAUAAAUAAUGAACAGCUUCCGCCUUGAACCGCUUGGUUCAAGGGACGCAGCCUGCCACGGCAUUUGCGGGAGCAC
rnacentral:other from 1 species